rnacentral:ncRNA from 1 species
AACUCGACAAAAGAGUCCAGUAACUUCAGGAGAAGGGGUGCCUCCUCACGAAGGGGGUUACAAUGACUAGGCCCUGACAAUUGUUUACCGAAAACACAGGUCUCCGCAAAGUUGUGAGGCAAUGUGCUGGGGGUUAUGCCUGCCCAGUGCUCGAAGUUCAACGAAGUUGGUGACCUGAUGAUAGGUGGGCCGGCAUCUGGAGCCUUGGUGAGCGACGCUACCCCUUCGUUCCUUCCUUAGAAGAAAGAUUAAGGAAUGAGUGGAUG